rnacentral:lncRNA from 1 species
GGUUGUUCCACUGGAUAUCAUAAGGUGAAUGCACCAAUUUGUAAGUCGCUCUGGAUAAGAGCGUCUGCUAAAUGACUUAAAUGUAAAUGUAAAUGUAAAAAAAUAAAGGGAACACUUAAACAACACAUCCUAGAUCUGAAUGAAAGAAAUAAUCUUAUUAAAUACUUUUUUCUUUACAUAGUUGAAUGUGCUGACAACAAAAUCACACAAAAAGAAUCAAUGGAAAUCCAAUUUAUCAACCCAUGGAGGUCUGGAUUUGGAGUCACACUGAAAAUUAAAGUGGAAAACCACACUACAGGCUGAUCCAACUUUGAUGUAAUGUCCUUAAAACAAGUCAAAAUGAGGCUCAGUAGUGUGUGUGGCCUCCACGUGCCUGUAUGACCUCCCUACAACGCCUGGGCAUGCUCCUGAUGAGGUGGCGGAUGGUCUCCUGAGGGAUCUCCUCCCAGACCUGGACUAAAGCCAUUUAUUGACAUUUAUUGUCAAUCAGUGUUGCUUCCUAAGUGGACAGUUUGAUUUCACAGAAGUGUGAUUGACUUGGAGUUACAUUGUGUUGUUUAAGUGUUCCCUUUAUUUUUUUGAGCAGUGUAUAUAGAAAUGAUAGAAAUGUAUCACGGGCCAGAUUUGGCCCGCGGGCCUUGUGUAUGACACGUGGUGUUACAUAUAGGACUAUCUGUCAGGUACAAUAAUGAUUCAGGUCAGUUUUAUUCAUUGCAUUAUAAUCUGAAAUGUUCUGACCCUGUCUAAGUCUCUUGAGGGCUGGUAUUUUGCUAGGAUGUGAAAUGAUUGCGACUGCAUGUCUUGGUUUGUCGCCCUCCCUCUGUCAUCUGCAGAAUAACUACAGGGAGUGUCUGACCCAAGGAGAUAAACUCAGGGAUUUGAAAGGUCGUCGCUCAUCCAGGUCUGCCACCACUUCACGGUUGAAUUUGACAAAGACCAGUCAGACCUCUAUCACCCCUCCCAAGUGUUCCAAGUUAUCUCAGGUCCCUGUCCCCUUCUCCUCCUCCUCUUCUCCCAAGAGGCUGGGGCAAAGCUCCUCAUCCUCAGCUAGUAACCUUAAGAGUCCCUUUAGCCUGAGUAUGUUCAGCUCUAAGGCUACUGCAAUUCACUGAGCCCGCGUUGAUCACUGACUUUUCACCUUUGACCUUCUGACCUUCCAGUUGACCCCAGGAGACAGGAGGUUAACCCCCUCAACCGCUGGAGAAAUGUGCACAAUUGUCUCUGUUAUAAAUGCACGUUAAAUGACAUUUAAUAAUACAACAAAAAAAUCGAAUCCACCCCUGAGACACUGUAAAAAUCCUCUUUGUAACAAUUGGAUUUCUAGACAUGAUCUCGUUUCAAUCAAUGUAAUUGUUUGAUUUCAAAAUGGGUUUGUUAUCAUUUUAAUUGUGUGCAAGGAGAUUCUUUAUCAUGGCUUUCUCUUUCUCUUAUUCAGUUAUUUAAUUAUCUAUUGUUUGAUUGACCCUGUAAAAGAGGACAUAUCCUACUGUACACUCAAUUGAUUCAUGAGUGGCUGUCUUAUGAAUGUUGUCGUUCAGGAGAUACAUUUGUUUUAUGUGAAUACAUAUUUGGAUUGUAGCAGAAGUGACUCUGGUUGAGCACUUUUUUUCUGACUUGUUUUUACGACUCUGUUGUUGACAGGCUUGAGACAAUUGUUUGUUUUAAAUAACUUUAAGUAGUAGGCCUGUAUGGUGUUUAUGGAGUGUAUUUCUGCAAACUUUGCAGAAAUACUAUUGGUACAUUGUCAUUUAAAUUUGAUUAAAAACAUUCCUUGUCAAAAUAAGUUGUCUUUCUCUGCAAAUGUGAUUUGACUCAUAAACAUGGCAGGUUAAGACACAUUUUUCGGCUUAUAUGAAUAUCUCCAACUCAGUAAGAUGGGGACCAUGUAUAGCAGUUGUAAGGGCAGGAAAUCAACAGAUGUCAAGGCAGAUUGAAGUGCUACCUUUUUUUAUUUUUUUUGUUUGCAGAUCUUGUGUUUACACAGUCAGCCCAAUUCUGAUAUUUUUUUCCCGCUAAUUGGUAUUUUAUGAUCAAUCAGAUUUCUUCACAAGAUGUUUUUCAGAAUUUAUCUGAUUGAUCAAAAUACCAAUUAGUGAAAAAAGUAUCAGAAUUGGGCUGCCUGUGUAAACGCAGCCUUAGUGAUCCAAU